AGAAGCGUUAUGUCAUAAACAGUUAUGACUUGUUUAUGUUUAUGACACGUUCAUGACAGUGUCAUGUCACUCUUAUGUAGAUACCUUCAAGUAAAUUGUAAUCAAAAAGUCUGUAUCCCCUUGAAUCCAGAACUAGAUAUGUGAUGAUUUAAACCCUUUUUGUUUUCUCAUGAAAAUCUAACAUUUAUUCCUUUACCUCUUUAUUCUGUUACUUUGAGAAGAAGGGGAUAUUUAUUUCAGUUAUCAAAAAAAGACCCUUUGGUUUCUAUUUCCCCAUUAUGAGAUAUUUCUCACGUUAUAUUCAGACAGAAAACCUAACUCGGUAUUAUAAAACAUUGUUUGAAAAAAAAUCAGGCCGCUCUCAGCUUCCAUACUUUAGUCUUAUUUUCUCAUGAUCACUGACUCAUUUUGUUUUCUCGUCAUCACAAAAUAAUUAUUUCAUGAUGUCGACAUAACCCCAACCAUCUUCAAAUCAUUAGGUUAGGUAAUCACUGCCUUUUGUCUGGUAUUUAGAGAUAAUUCACAUAGUGCGCUCUCAUGCAUUGUUCACUAAUGAUUAGGAGAAACCAUUGGGGUUAUCCUGAGAUCACAAAAAAUGAUGCAGCGAUCAUUGGAAAUCAAAUGUAAGGCUUCUCUAGCCUUCUGUAAGAUUGACUAGAGCUCUGAUGAUGUCCCAAAUGAAUAAUCAUGA